rnacentral:lncRNA from 1 species
AGGUACCUUCCCUACCCCCCAGCUUGGGGACCCAGUCUGUGCCAUGAAGCCCGUGGGCAGCCCUCACCAUCCCUGAGCUUGGACCAGUGUCUGCUGCUGCCUUCUACUUAAUCUUCAUCACCUUCUUUGAGCCCAUGUGUUUGCUUCUAUUUGGAAUGCCUUCUCGUCUCUGGUCCACCCAGCAAACUCCUA